rnacentral:rRNA from 1 species
AACGAACGCUGGCGGCAUGCCUAACACAUGCAAGUCGAUCGGGACCUUCGGGUCUAGUGGCGCACGGGUGCGUAACGAGUGGGAAUCUACCUUUGGGUUCGGAAUAACAGUUAGAAAUGACUGCUAAUACCGGAUGAUGACGUAAGUCCAAAGAUUUAUCGCCCAAGGAUGAGCCCGCGUAAGAUUAGCUUGUUGGUGGGGUAAUGGCCUACCAAGGCGACGAUCUUUAGCUGGUCUGAGGGGAUGAUCAGCCACACUGGGACUGAGACACGUCCCAGACUCCUACGGGAGGCAGCAGUGGGGAAUAUUGGACAAUGAGCGAAAGCCUGAUCCAGCCAUGCCGCGUUAGUGAUGAAGGCCUUAGGGUUGUAAAGCUCUUUUACCAGGGAUGAUAAUGACAGUACCUGGAGAAUAAGCUCCGGCUAACUCCGUGCCAGCAGCCGCAGUAU